UCGAUGGCUGGACUCUCUUUACGGGACCCGAGUUCACGGGAGGUUCAGUCUGCGCAAUUCCCGACAUUCUCUUCCAAGGAGCAGACGGCACAGUAAUAAACUACGGCACGUUUUCUACAUUGAGUGAUCUCAGCCUCGCAGACAACUCCAUCAGGUCCCUGAAGCAAGGCUGUCACAGCGACACUGUCGUCAGCGCCAAGGCUGUGAAAGACAAGAGAGAGAAGGAAGCAAUCGGUGGCAAAUAAUAUAUUGCAUUUAAAGUCCCUACUUCGAGAACUGAGAAGUAGACGUUGAUUUUCUUACACAAUAUGAAUUAAUUUGCAUGAUUUUAUAAUUACAAAAAUUCUUGCUUA